AGUGAACGCUGGCGGUAGGCCUAACACAUGCAAGUCGAACGGCAGCACAGUAAGAGCUUGCUCUUACGGGUGGCGAGUGGCGGACGGGUGAGGAAUACAUCGGAAUCUACUUUUUCGUGGGGGAUAACGUAGGGAAACUUACGCUAAUACCGCAUACGACCUACGGGUGAAAGCAGGGGAUCUUCGGACCUUGCGCGAUUGAAUGAGCCGAUGUCGGAUUAGCUAGUUGGCGGGGUAAAGGCCCACCAAGGCGACGAUCCGUAGCUGGUCUGAGAGGAUGAGGGGAGCCAGGGGAAGUGAGAAAGGGACAAGGCACCGAGGGGUGUCAGAAGGAGGGGAGGUGGGAGAAGGGGCGAAAGGGUUAGACAGCAAUAGCGCGUGGGAGAAAAAGGACUUGGGGUUGUAAAGCUCUUUUGUUGGGAAAGAAAAAAAGCAAGCGAAUGCGACGGGGGUCUGACGGUACGCAAAGAAAAAGAACCGGCUAACGUAGUG
rnacentral:rRNA from 1 species